AGCAGACCGCGGUAAUUCCAGCUCCAAUAGCGUAUAUUAAAGUUGUNGCAGUUAAAAANCUCGUAGUNGAAUUUCGGGAUCAGCAGGUUGGUCGUGCCUCUGGUAUGCACUGGUUUCGCUGAUUCCUCCUUUCUGAAGAACUGUAAUGUCAUUAAUUUGGUGUUGCAGGGAAACAGGACCGUUACUUUGAAAAAAUUAGAGUGUUUAAAGCAGGCUAACGCUUGAAUACAUUAGCAUGGAAUAAUGAAAUAGGNCGUUUGAUCCUAUUUUGUUGGUUUCUAGGAUUGACGUAAUGAUUAAUAGGGAUAGUUGGGGGCAUUAGUAUUCAAUUGUCAGAGGUGAAAUUCUUGGAUUUAUUGAAGACUAACUACUGCGAAAGCAUUUGCCAAGGAUGUUUUCAUUAAUCAAGAACGAAAGUUAGGGGAUCGAAGACGAUCAGAUACCGUCGUAGUCUUAACCAUAAACUAUGCCGACUAGGGAUCGGNNGAUGUUAAUUUUUUAAUGACUCA
rnacentral:rRNA from 1 species